AAGCAUUAAUGCCUGAUGCAUCUUGCCUGCAAAUUUUUGCCAAACUACUGCUAUGAUUUUGGAAAUUGAAAGGAAUAUCCUUGAUUGGCAAAAAUUUAUAUGCAACUUCACAGAUUCUCCAAUUAAUGAAUGCAUUCAAUGCUCAUAGCAAACAGGACACAAAGAAAUCAUUCCAAUCUUUUUGUGCACAGAAUGGUUGUGGUAGGUGAGGGGGGAAAGAGUUGGUGUUUUGGUGUGAAUAUUAUGU
rnacentral:misc_RNA from 1 species